rnacentral:sRNA from 2 species
UAGUCCUGGUUCUAUAUAGUGUUUAGUAAAUUAGUCACUUUACACUGUUUAUAUUAAAAAUCUAGUCUCAGAUUAUAUUUUAUUAAUAAAUUAGUGAUUCUGAUUUCAUUUGAUCUCAUUUUAUAAAAUGAAAUCAAAUGAAAUUAUGAUUUAUUCUAUAUAGAUUGACAGCAGUGAUAGAUUAGCAGUGGUAGAUAGAUUGACAGUGGUAGAUAGAUUAACAGCAGUAAAUAGAUUGACAGUGAUAGAUUAACAGUGAUAGAUUAGCAGUGAUAGAUUAGCAGUGAUAGAUUAGCAGUAAUAGAUUAGCAGUAGUAGAUAGAUUGACAGUAAUAGAUAGAUUGACAGUAGUAGAUAGAUUGACAGUGAUAGAUUAACAGUAAUAAAUUAGCAGUGAUAAAUUAGCAGCAAUAGAUUAGCAGUGGUAGAUAGAUUAACAAUGAUAGAUAGAUUAACAGCAGUAGAUAGAUUGACAGUAAUAGAUUAGCAGUGAUAGAUUAGCAGUGAUAGAUUAGCAGCAAUAGAUUAGCAGUGAUAGAUAGAUUGACAAUAAUAGAUAAAUUAACAGCAGUAGAUAGAUUGACAGUAAUAGAUUAGCAGUAAUAGAUUAGCAGUGGUAGAU